rnacentral:rRNA from 1 species
UGGGGAAUUUUGGACAAUGGGCGAAAGCCUGAUCCAGCAAUGCCGCGUGAGUGAAGAAGGCCUUCGGGUUGUAAAGCUCUUUUGUCAGGGAAGAAACGGUGAGGGCUAAUAUCCCUUGCUAAUGACGGUACCUGAAGAAUAAGCACCGGCUAACUACGUGCCAGCAGCCGCGGUAAUACGUAGGGUGCAAGGGUUAAUCGGAAUUACUGGGCGUAAAGCGUGCGCAGGCGGUUUUGUAAGUCUGAUGUGAAAUCCCCGGGCUCAACCUGGGAAUUGCAUUGGAGACUGCAAGGCUAGAAUCUGGCAGAGGGGGGUAGAAUUCCACGUGUAGCAGUGAAAUGCGUAGAUAUGUGGAGGAACACCGAUGGCGAAGGCAGCCCCCUGGGUCAAGAUUGACGCUCAUGCACGAAAGCGUGGGGAGCAAACA